UGAGGAAUAUUGGACAAUGGGCGCAAGCCUGAUCCAGCCAUGCCGCGUGCAGGAAGACGCAUCUAUGGUGUGUAAACUGCUUUUGUACGGGAAGAAACACUCCCUCGUGAGGGAGCUUGACGGUACCGUAAGAAUAAGGAUCGGCUAACUCCGUGCCAGCAGCCGCGGUACUACGGAGGAUCCAAGCGUUAUCCGCAAUCAUUGGUUUUAAAGGGUCCGUAGGCGGUUUAAUAAGUCAGUGGUGAAAGCCCAUCGCUCAACGAUGGAACGGCCAUUGAUACUGGUGGACUUGAAUUACAAGGAAGGAACUAGAAGAUGUAGUGUAGCGGUGAAAUGCUUAGAUAUUACAUGGAAUACCAAUUGCGAAGGCAGGUUACUACUUGUGGAUUGACGCUGAUGGACGAAAGCGUGGGGAGCGAACAGGA
rnacentral:rRNA from 1 species